rnacentral:RNase_P_RNA from 2 species
GCAGUGGGCCGGUCUGUCGCCUGUCUCUGAGACAGGAGGAAAGUCCGGGCAACACAGAGCACCAUAUUUUCUAACGGAAAGCUGCGGGCGACCGCAGAGCGAGUGUAACAGAAAACAACCGCCCCGAAGCCCCGCUUCGGAGUAAGGGUGAAAAGGUGAGGUAAGAGCUCACCGGCCCUAUGGCGACAUAGUGGCGUCAGUACAUCUUAUGGGUUGCAAUGCCAAAUACACCGGCACUUGAGGGUGGCUCGCCCGAUGCCGGGGGGUAGGCAGCUGGAGCCGGGGUGUGAGCCCCGGCGUAGAUAAAUGACAGACGCGCGAAGGAGUCACCUCCCGAGCGUACAUAACCCGGCUUACAGGCCCACUGCAUUU